UACGUAGGGGGGCAAGCGUUGUCCGGAUUUAUUGGGCGUAAAGAGCUCGUAGGCGGUGUGUCGCGUCGGCCGUGAAAACCUGCAGCUUAACUGUGGGCUUGCGGUCGAUACGGGCAUCACUGGAGUUCGGCAGGGGAGACUGGAAUUCCUGGUGUAGCGGUGAAAUGCGCAGAUAUCAGGAGGAACACCGGUGGCGAAGGCGGGUCUCUGGGCCGAUGACUGACGCUGAGGAGCGAAAGCGUGGGGAGCAAACGGG
rnacentral:rRNA from 1 species